rnacentral:tRNA from 1 species
GCCCUGUAGCCAAGCUGGUAAGGCACCUGGUUCUGAUCCAGGCAUGCGUAGGUUCGAGUCCUACCGGGGCCGCCA